rnacentral:rRNA from 1 species
CCGCCCCUGCCUGUCGCAUCGUGCCCGGCGGAGGGAUCAUUACCGAGUUUACAACUCCCAAACCCCUGUGAACAUACCAAUUGUUGCCUCGGCGGAUCAGCCCGCUCCCGGUAAAACGGGACGGCCCGCCAGAGGACCCCUAAACUCUGUUUCUAUAUGUAACUUCUGAGUAAAACCAUAAAUAAAUCAAAACUUUCAACAACGGAUCUCUUGGUUCUGGCAUCGAUGAAGAACGCAGCAAAAUGCGAUAAGUAAUGUGAAUUGCAGAAUUCAGUGAAUCAUCGAAUCUUUGAACGCACAUUGCGCCCGCCAGUAUUCUGGCGGGCAUGCCUGUUCGAGCGUCAUUUCAACCCUCAAGCCCCCGGGUUUGGUGUUGGGGAUCGGCGAGCCCUUGCGGCAAGCCGGCCCCGAAAUCUAGUGGCGGUCUCGCUGCAGCUUCCAUUGCGUAGUAGUAAAACCCUCGCAACUGGUACGCGGCGCGGCCAAGCCGUUAAACCCCCAACUUCUGAAUGUUGACCUCGGAUCAGGUAGGAAUACCCGCUGAACUUAA